rnacentral:lncRNA from 1 species
AGACCCCCCCCCUCUGAUACGUUUUCCAGGCAUUUAGACUAAACUCCAUCUACCGAUUUUGCCCUCGAUUAUUGACUCAACAAUUCGUGAAAAUAGAAAUUUCCCCCAACAUUUGCGAAUUCCUUCUGUCUCCUGUCCCGCCAUUCAGCGCCCAACGAAGAACCCUACUUCUGCGCAGCUUCACUUCGACGGUGGGUACGAAGCUUAGAAUCCCAGUUCGAUUCAGUAAAUUCUUAUUCCUUUUAUUUUCGAAAUCGUGAGUUCUUGUUCGUGUGACUUGUUUUUUUCGAAAAUUGCUGCACCUAGGGUUUUCAUAUUCUAGAAAUCGUUUGGGCGAUAUGGGUAUUCAAGAUUUCAUCUUGAUAGGGUCGAACCAUUCAAAUGAAUGGCGUGUGUGUGUGCCUUGUCUGAAUUUUAGAAAUGUUGCACGAAAAUUUUUAUGUAAGAUUCAUAUCUAACAAGCUCCGAUUAUUGGAGCCCGAUACCAACAUUUUUGAUUUGUUAUUGAUGCGCUCCAUUGAUUUAACAAACCAUUCCAAUUCUUGGUGAUUAUAAAUUUUUUCUGAACACCUGCAAAUUGGCAAAUACAAUCUGCAAGUGCUAUUGUUUUCUGUUAUUUCUGUCAUUGUUAUACUUGCAUAUGCUUCUUAAUUGCUGCUUAUUAUGAUGUUUGAUCACUGAUUUUUUGAGCAUAUGCUCUCUUUCAUGCUGUGGUAGUUUAAGACACCGUGUGUCAAAUUCAUCAAGCGGUUGCAGCCAUAAUCUCAGCUUAGUUUUGUGGAGAACAAACCAAGGCAAGUUCACUGAUAUCUUCGAAUUAGACACCAUUGAUAUCUUCGAAUUAGAUGCACAGCUUGAGCUCAAAUUAUGAUGCUUCUGUAUUAGAUAUAAUUGGGUUCAAUUUAUUAUGCCUUAUUGUACAAUGUAUCUACCAUUUGAUUGAGUGAUUUGUUGAAGAUUUUAUAGCAUUAUAGUUAUUGAAGAUAGCAAUUGAAACGUACUAGAGUUACGCAAGCAAUUAAGAGGGGGAGAGUUUGUGCUUUAUCUGAUAUGAAUCCUUGCCAUGGUGUAAAAUGUAUCAUUUAUAUUUCUUUGUUGUUUCAUUGAUGUUUAUUAUUUAAACCCAAAAAAUGAAUAUGUUGCUGGUUUUAUUUAUUGCAGAUUCUAUAUACUUCUAAGUUUCCAACAUUAUUGUUUAGAUGCCUGGAGGAGAACGCCCACGUGCUAGUCAUAUAUUAUAUUUGUUAUUACAAGAAAUAUUGCGUUCACAUAUUAUGCAGUUAUGUAUUGUCGUUGCAUACGUGGCUAAGUCUAGAACUAAAAAAAAAGAAAAUGUGGUUUAAAUCCCUUAAAAUAUGAUAUAAUAAGUAGGAUGCCAGACCAAGAAAAACACUUAGGUCGGAUGAUAGGCAUGAAUGAUAUUGAUUGCCUAUCAAAUUUGCGGAUGGACCGUAGUACGUUUGGGCGGCUAUGCCAAAUAUUACGGGAAAGGGGAGGGUUAAUAAAUGGUCGUCAUGUGACUGUUGAAGAACAAGUAGCUAUGUUCUUAUCUGUUAUAGCUCAUCAUAAAAAAAAACAGGAUUGUGGGAUUUGAUUUUUGGCGAUCAGGUCAAACUAUCUCAUAUUAUGUACACGCUGUUUUGGGAGCAAUUUUAAGAUUGCAUGAGCUUUUUUUAGCUAAACCCGAAGCUGUACCCGAUGAUUGCACAGACCCUCGGUGGCAAUGGUUCAAGGUAGUUUGUAUUAGAUAUGUGGUUGUGUAAUUAUGGGUUGAAGAAGAUUAUUACUUUGUAUACUAACACGUUGAUACUUGUUUCUUAUGUCUAGGGUUGUCUAGGCGCCUUAGAUGGCACCUAUAUUAACGUGAUGGUGAGUAAUGAUGACAAACCAUGCUAUAGGACCCGGAAAGGACAAAUUUCUACUAAUGUUCUAGGUGUUUGUGACCGCAAAAUGAAUUUCAUUUAUAUUCUAUCCGGAUGGGAAGGUUCCGCUGCGGACUCGAGAAUACUGAGAGACUCACUAAACAGGCCACACGGUCUAAAGGUUCCGAAAGGUUUAUACUGCAGCUAGAUCUUCUCGUAAUAUAAUAUGUUAAUGUGUUCAUAUAUAUGUUGGUUUUAUGGUAAAUAGGGGCCUAAUUUAUAUUCUGCUUUGGUUUGUUUGUGUUUCACUAGGGCAUUACUAUUUGUGUGACAAUGGUUAUGCAAAUAGCGAUGGCUUUCUAACGCCGUACAAAGACGUUAGAUAUCACUUAAAAGAGUGGGGACACGGUGCUGCCAGGCCUCAAAAUAGGGAAGAACUUUUUAACUUGAGGCAUAGUAAGGCUCGGAAUGUGAUAGAGCGAGCUUUCGGAGUCAUGAAGAUGCGUUGGGGGAUUCUCCGAUCCACCACGUUUUACCCAAUUAAAAUUCAGAAUAGGCUAAUAAUGGCAACGUUUUUGAUUAAUAAUUUUAUUCGAACACAAAUGCCAAAUGAUCCAAUAGAAGAACAAUUUGAUGCUAUGGCACAAGAUAAUGCAGAGGGUGUGGACGUAGAAACCGAUGACUUUAUUGAUACGGUGGAGUCGUCUCCUCAAUGGAAUGCCGCACGGGAUGCAUUGGCAGAGGGAAUGUGGCUACAAUACAUAAAUGGCGCCUAGGUGAUGAUUGCUUAUUAUAUUUGUUCAAUUAUUUGUGCCUUCUUUUUGGUCUACAAUAUUAAGUUGCUAUGAUGUUAGCUGGAGUUAAGCUGAGCUUGUUAAAUCAUUUAUUUCCUGAUUGUUACAUAUUGCUUCUCACUCUCUGAUUUAUAUUUUGGUUUGUUUCUUAUAAUAUUUAUUUUGGUGGACUGAUAAUUUGAUGUGUAGGAUAGAUGCUUCGUCUGAGAUAUCAACACCAUUGGUACGACGAGUAUUAUGGAUAUGCUAUGCGUCGAGAGCUGUCACCCCCUGGAUUUUAUGCAUGUCCAUAAUUUUGUUGGUUACUGAUAUUGGAAUUGGUCGUUUCAUUUGAAUUUUCAUUUUGUAACCAGCUGGUGUUUUUUUUAUUGUAAGUUUUGAAUGAAUUUCGACAGUGGUAAUGGUUUCGUGUACUUUUUAUUACGAGAAAACACUAAUGUAGUAUUCGAAUUUGCAGCCAGUGAUUACUGGAGCUUUGUUUUAAGCUAUGGAAAUGAUAUUUUGCAUAUGUUUGUGAUUAUUUCUCUGACAUAUGUUGAUAUUAGACAUUUGAUUAGUGAGAACCUAAAUUUGCUUAGUUUGUUGGUUAGGUCAUUAGUGAUUUCUUGAAAAUAGUUAUUAAAUUAGUGCAGCAUCUUGGAAAGCCAUGAAAACACACUGAGCUAUAGAAGUGCAUGUUUCCCUUUUCUCUUCAGGUUUUCUUCAGUUGACAUGUUUCAAAUAUGAUGAUACCAUCAUGAACAAGAUUUAUACACACACAAAUCUGAUGAUACCAAUUUGAAAUUGAUUGAUUACAAAUAAAUUUUUCAACUAAAUUAUAUAGAAAUGAUACCAAUCUUCCGAAUUUAUAGAAAAUUAUAGACAAUUGCUACUUUUNGAAUAUCUAAAAAAUGAGGAGUGUACAACUUGCAUCAUUGGCAGGUUCUUGAGAAUGGAAAUUAUUGCAUGAUCUUUGUGAUUUUAAGAAAUCGUGUCAAAUAUUCCCUAACUUUUAUUUUCAACCACCAUAUUAAUGGCAACAACUACAACAAAGAAAUCAAAUCAACUCUAUAAAUUGAAUUAUUGGAGAAUGCAAAUCACCUCUAUAAAUUGAAUUAUUGGGGCAACAAUUAGACGCCAUCACCAAAAAAAUUCGGAAGUCACCCUAGUUCCUUGUAAGAAAUAUUCAAAUUUUGCCGGCGAUGCCGCUCCCCGAUGUUCCCCAGCAAACUUGUUUCUUAUAUAUAAACAAGUGGGAUGCAAAGAAAGAUGAGUUAUUGCUCAAGUGUCUCAUAGAAAAAAUCGACGAAUGCAAGCCAUCACCGCCGCAGCUGUCACCACAUGCUCUUAUUUUUGCCAUGAAGAGACUAAACUCUCAACUCAAUGCAGAUUUCACCCUACUUGACAUUGAGGCGCGGGUUGAUUUCCUCCGUCAUCGAUAUGUGAGUUUCAAGUACCUAGCCAAUCUGCCGAAGACCGAUUGGGAUGCAUCGACCAAUAUUCUUCAUGCCGACGACAAUGUAUGGAGGCGGUUGUUUAAGGUUAUUUCCAACUUUCACAUUCUAAUUUUGCAAAACACUUUUCCUCAUCCAUGAGUUAUUUCGCUACGUGAUUUAUAUCUUUUAACCAUUACUUCGUUUCAUAAAUUAGGCGCUGAUCUUUUGCUUAGUUUUAGCAAUUAUGAAUGAUAGAAACUUUUUUUCUUUAUAUUUUUGGUGCAUAUCCAUCGACGGAAUAUUGUAUAGUUUCUAAAGUCAUUCUUCUUCAAAGUGUUCCGUAGGUUUUGGCCAAAAAUAAACUCACAAAUAAUCUUUGAACUUGUAGGAAAAUGCUUUUUUCCAAGCGUACCAUCACAAGGGUGAACCGGAGUACUUCCAAAUGUGCAAACUUUUCGGACUUUACGACGUGAAAGAAGAAAUAUCCCACACGGUUAUUGUGAUAGAGGACUCCUCUCCUGCCAAAAGGGAUGUGACGCACAUAGUCCUCGAUGAUUCGGCGUCGGAAGACGAAGUAACUUCUCCUAUGUUAAAACCAAAACCAAAACCAAAACCAAAUGCCUCACGCAAAUUAGACGUAGAAGAUGCAUGUUCUAGUGUGACUCCAGGGUUGCCGACUUCAUAUGCGAGUCAUGUUUACGUUCCAUGGUCGCCUAUAAAGGUCAAAUUUGCUCAACAACGGGGUCUUCUCUUCCAGCAAAAAAAGCUUUCCACGGCAAGUCGAAGGAGAAUAAAAAAUCGGAUACCACAAAUGGUGUUAGCUCGUGUGCUUCGUCCUCGCCUUUUAAAUAGUUGAGAAGGCGAUGGUAGAAUCUUUUAAAAUACUUAUGUUUUUUGAAUUAUGCUGCAUCGUUUGAUACACGAUAGCAUCGGUUAUGUUUUUGUUUUUCAAUUUGCUACUCAACAAUUUUGAAUCCGUAGGGGAAGAAUCGAACUUUUAUCAUUUUGUGAUAUUGUUGUUUUGUCGACAAUUUAAGUUAUUAUUCUCUUUUGUUUGGAAUUUAUAAAAUUUCGUUAUGUUUGGAUUACAAUGAUAUUAUGCAUUUUCAAUCUAGAACUAAACUCCACUAUCGUCAUUCACUUCAUAUUCAUAAACACCAGCCACCCUACCUCCUCUCCUCUCUCUCUCUCACACACACACACACACACACAAACAGCUAUCUGAGGAAAUGGUGACACUAGAGAUAAAGGAGGUGUUGUUUGGUGGCUGCCGCCGUGGCAUACAAAUCUUAAGUCGAAAUGUAGAAAUCACAUGAAUUGAUGAGAAUUCUUUACGAAUGAGAUCUCUAAUCAUCAAACAAUCAGGAGGAAAAAAAAAGUUGCUUGAGAUCUCUAACUCUUUACGAGCGUGGCAGCGCAGGAGGCCCUUACCCCCAGACAUGCAUCCGACGCUGCAGCUUUUCUACCAGCUGCUUGAGGCUCCUCCUCUUUCUUUUAUUUAUUCCAUAUUCUUUCGCCCUCAUAUAUUGUUUGGGACAUCUGUUUCUAUCCAUUUAAUUAAUCGAUUGUUUUUUAUUCUAGAACUAAGCAUAAUAGCUCGUUAUUUUUGAAAAAUUAAGCAACCCAGGUCACAUAAGUUAUACAUGAAAAACAUACAUACUCAUAUUGAAAGUAAUGGAAGAGAAAAGUCUUCAACAUAUAUUAGAAUUCAAAAUGAAGGCAAAAUCAGAAAACAAUACAUCACCAACUAGCAGGCAAUCUCGUGUAAAAACCAUUCUACUUGUCCAAAUUAUUAGAAAAUAAUACAUACCACCAUAAGUUCACGAGAUAUUAAAGUCGAUAUGUGAUGCUAAUAAAAAAACCCCAUACUUGAUAAAUAUGUGUUCCUCGUCUCUAUUUAUACUUCUCCUCCAGAAGGUAGUAGACGUACUCACACUUUGAUUCUUCUGGCAAACUUGUGAAUACAUCCAGGCGCUCCACUUCUUUUGCAAGCAAAUCAGUAAUUGCGAAUUUUGCUUUUUGAGACAACCUCGGUAUUGUAUCCAACUGUGCGAAAAGCUCCUUUCUCGCCUUGGAUAUGUCGAAGUCAUAGCCCAUUCGACUAGCGAUAGUCUCAAGUCUUUUGUCAGUUGUGCUGUUGAUCUCACCCAAAAGCUCAUACAGCUUAUCGAGCCCCUCGUCGUGCUUUCUUUUUUUGCUCACACCACGAACAGAUUCAGACUUCUUGGUUUGACUAACGCUAUCACCGAUAUCGACUUGCUCGAACUGUCAUCUAGUGGCACGCGAUUAUCGCCAUCGACUCGUGGUUGGCUCAAGUCGAUGUUGUGAUACAUCUCAUGUGCUGCAUCCAUGAGAUCUUCAGCUAUAUCGCCCGUUGCACGAUCCUUGCCAAAAAUUUCAGUCCAUUGAUCGAAGUAGGGCCAGCUCUUGUAACGCAUUUUUGUUGCGUUCCCAUCCUUCUACAAUGUACAAAAUCAGCUAGUUAGAAACAAAGCAAAACUCGAAUACAUUACAAAGAAGAGUGACAGACUACUACCUUCACAAUCGCCUCCCAUUGUUCAUCGUCACAGUCAAUCAUGUUGGUGCCGUUCAAGUUGAAUCCCGCUCCACUUUUGCCCAUCAUUGUUGUUAACGAGUUAUAGUUUUUCUUCCAUAUUGUUACCUUCGAAUUGAUAUGUGGCAUUCCCUUCAAAUCAGUCGUUGGAAAUUUCUUUUUCAUCGCCUCCUCCAAUUUGUUUAGAUAUCCGGCGCGAAAGCCGUUAUCGGAUUUCCAUCCUUGAGCCACUAAUUCCUUCAAGGCAGCCAACAAGAUUUCUUCCUCAUAUGUUGACCAGCUACGACGAGUCUUGUCGGUCUUAUUUAUUCGACCACCACGAACAAAUCCGCUACUUCCUGCUACAAUUCAUCGAAGCAUCAAUAGCAUGUGUAACAUACACAAAUAAGGUCGGGCAGACAACAAAGUAUUGGACUUUUCGAUCAAAACACAACUCAUAUACACAACAAAACAACAAGGUUUUCUAUUAGACAAAAGAAUAAUAUGUUUCAAUUUUUAAAAAGUAGUAAUCAAUAUUAAACACAUAUCACUUUCGGCAGAGAGUUCUUUUAAAACUAUUCCACACCAUAAUAGAUUUCAGAAGUUAUACAAGCACGACAACAAAUGAUAUGAACUAAUUCCAAGUGAUGUAAAACCGAAAACAAGAUACAUGUUUCUCUACUUCACCAACUUGUUGCACGAAAUCUUCAUAAAACGCUAGAUGUCACGAAUUCAACAUAAUACUCAAAAGAUGAGUUGUAUUACUGACUAUGAUUCGCGGUAUUUCGAAUCCAAAUAUAAUGAAUCGAACGAAAAUAACAUACAAGUACAGCUGUUCUAUUCCGAUUACUGUUCCUUUGGCAAGAAACACGCAAAAAACAAAUAACCAGUAACAAGUAAAAACGAUGACAUUUUCUGGAUCGAAGCAUAACAUACCUUGCAUCGCGGAACUCAUGAUCGAUGUUGCGCAACUAUUCACAGAUCUGUUUUUUCCCCACCGAAUACGUUCUACCUUCUGAAGCCCUAGUCUUUUUGGCGCGAUGAUAGUUCUUACGAUAUGUAAAAAAAUCUUGAAAUAUAUCGGCGGGUUUAGAAAAGGAUACGCUGGUCCAAAGGCAAUUAAUGGAUGGGUUUUUGUGAUUUUUUAUCUAUUAAUUUAGGGCAGAUUUUUAGCUAUCAAACACGAACAUUGUGUGACUGUCAUAUGUAAUUUAUGUAUCAAACGCAGAAGAUUAGGAAAUAAUCUCCACUAAUCUACUAGAGGUAACUGCCGAUAUUUUUUCUGGCCACAACCGUGAUGGGGAAUCAAACGUGCCCUUAGAUUCAAAUUUGAGCUUAGGUCCUCAGUCUUCGUCCUCCCUAAACUGAAAGAAGUAGCGUCCUUUCUUUCGUAGGUGAGGGUGCUGCAGAAUAAAGCAGCACGAAAAAGAAAACUCCGCACUCCGAAAGAUGAUUCUGCAGAUCUUCGUAUUAAAUGCAGUUGUACUUGGAGUCAGCUGCUUACUUUCCAAGUGGCUUCUUUUGAAACGAAUAAAACAUAAAACAUCCUUAAAUUGAGAAUCAGUUUGGGACAGAGAAUAAGUCUGAGGUUUCAACUGAUACUUUACUUCAGCAUCAGUCUCUGCUUUGAUUUUGAUUAAAUUUUGAUUUCAACUUGUAUUUAAUUUUAAUAUUUUUUUAUUAAAUCUACAUUGAUUGAAAAUAAAAAUUGGAUUACAAUAAAAAUAAAGUCCUAAAUUACUUCAAAUUUAAAAAGAAUUGGCUUUCACUGAAGAAGGUGGAAGAAUCAAAAAACGCAAUGAAUCAGCAGUCUUGAGUCACUUUUACAUGUCUUCUUCUUCUUUGUCUGAUGGAGAGUCAGAGAGAAUAGCAGAAAUUGUUGUAAAGGCGCAAAAAAUUGUCCAAUAAGUUUUCAAAAACCAAGUACCCCAAAGAGUUAUUCCAAACUAAAAAGUUAAGAAUUCAAAAUCACUUUUAUGUCUCAUUACAAAUGUCUCAGUUUUUAUAAUGGAAUGUCCAAUUACAAAUGUCUCAUUCUUUUUUUGGCAAAUAAUUAAGAAGCUAAUUAACUCUCUCUGUGUCUACUUUUACAAAUCUCAAUUUAUUUAUCUCUCUCCACUAACUAACUUUUCUACUAAUUACAUAUUCUCAAUCUCGUGCCCAAAAGUAAUGAACAGAGUAAUUCAUAUGACUUAACAUGAUGAGUCAACUCAAUAUAGACUUGACUCAUAAGUGGUCUGAAGAUGAAUGAGUAAGUAUUGACUCAACCAAUAUGCAUGCUCUAAGGGCUCCACUAGUGGGGGGUGCGGAAGGCGGUGCACCACCCUCCCCCUCUCCCCCAUAUUGCCGCCACCCUCUCUCUAUGCACCCAUCCCUUCCCACCACACCCGGUGCAGACGGCCAUUCUAUUGGGCCCAUGUAUACCACGGCCUAAUCAGAUUUUUUAAGCCAUUAAUUUAAAAAAAAAUUCAAAAAAUCAGAAACAACUAUUUUGCAUUUGGCAACAUUUUUUUGGCAGAGAACCGUUUCCAAACGGCAUUUUUGUAUUUUUUUCUUUUCUUUAUCUCUAUAUUGCUUCUAUAAAUUGGAGAGCUCUCCUAUUCAAUUUCUAACACAAUUCUAUCUUCAUCUUCUUUCUAUAUAUAUUUUUUUUGUGGUAAAAAAAUGGAUGAUAGUUGGAAAAAAUNUUGUGUGACUGUCAUAUGUAUUUUAUGUAUCAAACGCAGAAGAUUAGGAAAUAAUCUCCACUAAUCUACGAGAGGUAACCGCCGAUAUUUUUUC